AAGAGGUCCCAAUUAUCCUGAAAUCUGAAACCCUGCUCCCUGCACCAGUUCCUCAGCCACUUGUUCAUCCUCUUUAUUGUUCCUAAAUAUCUUCAGGUUAGUUUGAUCACAUUGCCUCUAAAUAAGCUGUGUCCUCAAGACAUCUCUCUUGGGUUUGAAGACCUGUGGAGGUCUUCCAUUCUAAUUGAGUUCUAAUAUGAUAAUGCCAUCAGUAUUCCUCUUUAAGAUAAAUCAGAAAAUGCACAGAUGCCAUGUAACAGAUUUCCUUCAUCAGAAGUAUCAGAUGCUGGCGACUGUAGAGGAUUUUUGUGCUCUUGUUUGUAAUUCUAGUGCUGUACUUAAGGAGUUAUACUCAAAUGUCUCUGCUGAAAAUGCUAAUACAUCAAAUUCAGGCUCCAUGCACUAUACUAAGUGGAGUUAAUUGUUGAAGAAUUUGAAAAUCUACUAUUCUGGUCUAUACUGUUUCCUGGAUUGGCAAUGGUGGUUCAUGGCUAAGUUAAUAAGUCAAGAGGCUUGAACAGAAGCUCAGGAGACACAAUUCAAAACCAACUAUGGCAGCUGGGGAAAUCUAAACUAUUAACGUUAAAGAAAUAAAAACCAACACAUGAUCAUGAAACAAAUCUUGUUUGCUCAUGUCCUUUAGGGAAGGAAAUACAUUAUCAUUAUCUAGUCUCUCCUUCAUGUGACUAAACCCCCAGCAACAUUUUAGACACUUCACUCCCAUGAGAUGCCUGAUUUGGAAUUCAUCAGUCCCUUCAAGGAUUAGGGAUGGGCAUUUAAGUUUGACCUUUUGGUCUUCUAUCCUUCUGAGAGAACAAAAUAAGUAUCCAUCUUAUUAUGUAACAAAAUGCCUGUCACAACUAUACAAGAACGGUAUUUUGUUGUUUUUAGGAAGAGUUUCACUAUAUAUCUGAAAGCCAAAAUAGUGAUCCAUUUCACUGAAUUCAGUCAUUACAAGAAUCUGAAACUACAAAGCCUAAUUCGUGCCCCGUUAAUGUUAAAUACAGAGAACAAGGAAAAGAAAAAUAAAUUGGGUAGUUGACAAUUAAAAUACCUAUUGCAUACACAAAUGAGGAUAUAUUGACUUUUUCAGUUCCUCUUUUGAUAAUUACACCAAUAAUGUUGCUAUGGCAAUAUAUUGAGCCUACAUGAGCUUGCUAUAUAAUCUUACUGCAACCCACUGUGCAAAGACUUGUCUUUUUUUGAUGAUCCACUUACUUCAACUGAAGGCAAAAUUGUUUCUUUAAAUAUAUACUGUACAUUUCUCCAUCCACUUUAUUUUUUGCUCUCUGCACAAACUGGGGAGAGGAGUGUUACAUCAAACCACAUAUUGUUCCUGAGAAGUUUCUAUCGUGAAUAAAAUAUUUAAUUUUUAUGUAUUCUUUUACAGAAAGCAGCAUAAAUUUGUGUAGUCUGCAGAAGAAAAGCUCACUUCAUCCUGGUGUCUUAUUUCCCAGAGGAAGACAAGACUUAAGUAAUACCUCCAACGACAUAUAGCAUAGAUGGAUGGUAUGGCCUCCACAGAACCCUGAUCUCAACAUCAUCGAGACUGUCUGGGAUUAUCUGGAGAGACAGAAGCAAACGAGACAACCAAAAUCUGAAGAUGAACCAUGGCAAGUUCUCCAAGAUGCUUGGAACAACCUACCAGCCAACUUUCUUAAAAAAGUGCAUGAUAUUGUACCCAAGAGAAUUGAUUCAGUUUUAAAGACAAAGGAUGGUCACGACAAAUAUUGAUUUGAUUUAGUUUUUUUUUAACUGUUUACUGCUCUUUAUAGUAAAUUAUUUUGAUAUUUAGAAACUAUUCAUUAUUUUUGAAAGCAUCUUCACUUUACAGAAUGUUUUUACAUGUGCUUGAGACUUUUGCACAAUAAUAUAUAAAAGCAAAUUAAGUAAGUAGUACAAAAAGAGACCAAAAUAAUGAGAUAGUGUCCAUGGUUGGUUCAUUAUCUGUUCAGAAAUCUGAUGAUGGAGGGGAAGAAGCUGUUCCUAAAAUAUUAAGUGUGUGUCUUCAGGCUCCUGUACUUCCUUCCUGAUGUUAGCAAUGUGAAGAGAGCAUUACCUGGGUGAUGGGGGUCCUUAAUGAUGGACACCGCCUUUUUGAGGCAUCACCUUUUAAAGAUAUCCUUGAUGCUGGGGAGACUGGCGCCAAGGAUGGAAAUGGCUAAGAUUGCAACUCUUUGCAGUUUUUUUCCAAUCCUAUGCAGUGGCCACUCAAAACCAAACAGAUAUGCAGAAUGUUCUCCACGGUCCAUAUAGAAGCUAACUCUACUUGGAUUCCUUGAUGUCAUCAAGAGGAAGCAAGACCAAAAUCAAUAUUAGAUACUGAAUAUCGAGAGUUUUUUUUAUGAUUGUAUGGAGGAGUUUUUGGGAAUAGUGUGAGAGGUUGGUGGUCAGUUAGGGAUUAGGGAUAGGGAUGGGAGAGUAGAAUGUAGAGUUGGGGAAAGGAUCCAGGGGGAACGUUCAGGACAUAACGCUCCCAGUUUGGAGGCCAGUGAUCCCCAGGGGUGGAGCAUGUCAAGAUCUGUAGCUUCUGAGAACAAGGGCUGAUGAUUACCGAGGUCAACAAGUCCCAGGUUUGGAGGUCUGAGGUGGUCAGUUUGCUGGUCCUGCCCAUGAUUGACAAGUCCUGGGGUUGAAACCCAGAGUUUGGCGAAGUCAGAAGUUCAAGGCCCAGAAGUCUAGAAUGUCUGGAGAUCGGGCCCGGAGAUCAAAGUCCUGUGACAGGCGAUUCAUGGGGUCAAUAUCCAGAGGUUGCCAAAGUCCAGAUAUCGGCAAGUCUGGCAGUCGAAGCCUGAGGGUAGAAGUUCCUGGGUAGGCACGUCUGGAGGUUGGAACCCUGAUGUCCGCAAGUCCAGGCCAGGGAUUGGAUAAUACCAGAAGGCAUCCUUUUAAGGUGACUGGAGGAAUGUUUAGUGGAGAUGUUUGAGGCAUGUUUGUUUGGUUGGUUGUUUUUUUUUAAACAUAGUUAGUGCUGGGUGGCUGGAUUGCGAUGCCAGGGCUACUGGUAGAGGCUGAUACAUUAGGGACAUUUAAGAGUCCUUUGGUUAGUUAUGUGGAUGAAAAAGAAGAGGGUUCUGGGCUGUGUAGAAGGGAAGUGUUACGAGUGAUCUUCAAGUAGACUAAAAGAUCAAUGCAACAUUGUGGGCAGAAGGUCCCAUACUGUGCUGCAUUGUUCUAUGUUCUAAUUACAGAACCAAAGGCAGAAAGAGUCUGAGAUGGUAGCAGCAGUGAAGUGACUCAGAAUAGACAUUCUUCUGAAGAGUACUAUUGCAGCAAUAUUCUGAAGGUACAAUUGAAAAAUAAAACGCCAAGAAAUCGAUUAGCAAACAUGCUUCGAUGAAGCUAAGGGAAUGAUGGUGCAAGGUAGACAUGUAACACUGGGGAAGUCAGGAAAGAGGCAGAGGAAGCAAAUGGGAAUCUGCAUCCUGUCCUAAAAUUAAACACGAACUGUGUGAACUCUCUGCACUCAGAAUACAUAAUCACAUAAUCUGUGCUCAGCACCUGCAGACAACCACAUUGUGGAGAUUGCAACUCUGUUAGUAGGAGUAGUAUGUCAAUCAAACAAAACACGUAAGCUCCAAAAUAUCACACAAACCAGGGGAAAACAUGUAGCACAUUAAGCUUUAGGCAAUCUAUUUAGAGGCAUAGAGUCACUGAAGACUACAGAAAAGAAACAGACUCUUUGGCCUAUCUCAUCUAUGCCAAACUAUUAAUCUGCCUAGUCCCAUCAACCUGCACUUGGACCAAAGUCCUCUAUGUUCCCCCCCCCACCGCCCCAGGCAUAUACCUACCCACAUUUCCUGAAAUGACUGCUCAAUCAGAGCUCCAUGAGCCAGUACUCAUCAAAGGAUCAGAGCUGGAGAGAGUCAGCAACUUUAAAUUCUUCCGUGUUAUUAUUUCAGAGGGUCUGUCCCGGGCCCAGCACCAAACUGCAAUUAUGAAGAAAUUACGGCAGCGCCUCUGCUUACUCGGGAGUCUGCAAAGAUUUGGCAUGACAUCUAAAACUUUAACAAACUUCUAUAGAUGUGCAGUGAAGUGUAUAUUGACUGUCUGCAUCACCGCCUGAUAUGGAGACACCAAUACCCUUGAACAGAAAAUCCUACAAAAAGGAGUGGAUGCAGCCCAGUCCAUCAGGGGUAAAGCCUUCCCCACCAUAGAGCACAUGAAGCGCUGUCACAGGGAAGCAGCAUCCAUCAUCAGAGAUCCCCGCCACCCAGGACAUGCUCUCUUCUCGUUGCUGCCAUCAGGAAGAGGUACAGGAGCCUCAAGACUCAUUCCACCAGGUUCAGGGGACAGUUUCUACCCCUCAACCAUCAGGCUCUUGAUCCAAAGGGAACAACUUCACUCACCUUUGAAAUGUUCCCUCAAACAAUGGACUCUCUUUCAAGGGCUCUUCAUCUCAUGUUCUUAAUAUUUAUUGCUUAUUUAUUAUUAUUGUUAAUUCUUUCUCUUUGUAUUUGCACAGUUUGUUGUCUUUCACACACUGGUUGAACUCCCAAAUUGGUGUGGUCUUUCAUUGAUUCUGUUAUGGUUAUUACUCCAUGGAUUUAUUGAGUAUGCCCACAAGAAAAUGAAUCUCAGGACUUUUUAUAAUAAAUUUAUAUCACUUUGCUCAUUCUUUGGAACAGCACUCACCGUCUUUAAGAGAAAAAAAAAAUCAUCAAUUGGUUCAAUGAGUUACCAGAAGCCUGGACUAUGUUAAAAUGUCACGAGAGCUGCUGGGCAAUCUGAAUUCAGGGAAGGAAUCCUCCCAUCCUUUUUUGGACUGUGUCCCCUAAGUGAUUAGAUUCCCAGAACAAAGCGGUCGAUUAUUAACCAUAAUGACUAAGCAGGUCUGUGGUAUUAAACCAAAAUGUCUGAUCAAAAUAAAAAUAAAAUGAUACGAACAACUUAGCAUCAACUCAUGUGAAGAAGGUACAACUGCAUCAGGACACGCAGCACCAGGUUCAACAACAGUUGCUACCCCUCAAACACCAGGCUCUUGAACAAAAGAGGAUAACUACGCUCAUCUACUGAGAUGUUCCCACAACCAGUGAUCUCACAUUAAGAAUUCUUUACCUUGUUCUUUCAUGCUCUUGUUAUUUAUUACUACUUAUUUAUAUUUGCAUUUGUUGACAUCUAUGCUCUACCUGAUCUUUCAUUGAUCCUGUAAUAGUUACUAUUCUAUAGAUUUGCUGAGUAUGCCCACAGGAAAAAGAAUCUCAGGGUUGUAUGUGACGACAUAUGUGUACUCUGAUAAUAAAAUUUACUUUGAACUUUUGAACUUUGAAUUCAAAUGUCACUCAAUCCAAUCAAUUUGCAAAUUCCUUCUCAUGGAUAUCCAUUAAUGAGCUCCAAGAUGAAAAAGCUGUCUAACAGGACAGUGUUAACGGGUAAUCCAGCAACAAUUUUAUUCAUAGAAUUAUAUCCUUCAGUCAACAUCUAGAAUCACCUAUCACAAUCCUUGAGUGCAUUCUAUCGUUCGUUGGAUAAGUCCCAACAGCAGUGGAAAACAAUUGGAAAGGAAUGGAACUCUUCAAAUUGAUCAUGGACUCCAUGAAGUCUUGUAUUGUCAAACACAGCCAAGGAACUCUCCCAAAUGCCACGUACUGUUCUUGUCUGACUGAAUCAGUGCUCCCCCUGCAUUGAAGACUACUUGGUCCAGAAAUGUACUCUGGGUGAAGUUCAAUGCCUAUCAUCAAGAAUGGGCUGAGUAAACAGUAAGACUGAGUCCAUGACAGGUGGAAACGAAAGAACAUCAUUAACCUACUUGACUUAUGGACCUUGUUCUCAUCCACCUAUCUGUCAUACAUACCUCAGUCCACGAAAGAACUCAUACAAGUGACCUACCCACAUGCUAAUGUAACAGUUAUUCCAUUUAUUUUCACCAAGCAUUACCUCCAUUGUGUAAGAUGGUGCUACCAUUACACAAUGGGAUUCAUCUCAAACAGACCACAAAUAAAGGUAAAAAUGGACUCUGCCAGACUGUAACUUAUCCCUCGCUCUACCACUGCCAUCAAGCCAAGGGAGCAGCCCCGCUCAAUGAAGAGUCUAGAAGUUGAUGGUAGAUGUGAUAACAGACCUAUCCAAAAAGAGUGAGGUGGCAGCACAAUUACUAUGACUAAGUCCCCUGCCACCCACCUCCUGGAGGUCAGUAUUUCGCUAGAAACUCAAUAUGAUCCAACCAUACAUAUAUGUAUGUAUGUAUGUACAGAGAGAGAGAGCUAGGGCACCUAAGACUUUUGCGCAGUACUGUAGUAAUUUUGCAUAUUGUACUGUUCUGCUUCCACAACAAAAGAAAACAAAUUUCAUGACGUAUGUGAGUGAUGAUAAACCUGAUUCUGACACAGGUGCCUAUUGUGGACUGAGAGUGGGAAAAGGGCAGGAAGAAGGGAAUUUUGGUUGGGAAAAGGGGAAGGGAGAAGGGAGGGAGCAAGAAGCACCAGAGAGAUAUUCUGUAAUGAUCAAUUUAGCAAUUGUUUGGAAUCAAAUGACCUUGCCUGUUGUCUCAGGGCUGGGUGUGUCUGCACCCAUGCCACUCCCCACCCUAGCACUCCUUCUCUGCCACCUGUCCCAAACCCUUUCCCUGGUGCUCCACCUUGCCAUUCCCAACAUCGUCUGCUCCCACCAGAUUUGCAAACUCACUCUCCGCUCCAAGUUGACAAAUACAGUACUGUCUUUAGUACCCCAGCUAUAUAAGACUUUUGCACAGAACUGUAUAUUAUGGUUACAGAGGGUUAAUUUUCCUUGUGACAUUUUGGCGCCCCAAAACCUUUCAACCAGCUGCAAAGCAAAGUCAGGUCGUGUACUCUCCCCUUGCCUGGAUGAGUGUGAUGUGACUCCAUCAACAAGACCAUCCAGGACACAGAAGCCCACUGAUUGUCACACCAUAUAUUUGUUCCUUUCAUGACUUGUGCAUGGUCACCAGCAAACACAGCACAUUUCUUUUACAGAACAUUAAAAAAAAUAGCAGCAGGAGUAAGCCCUUUGGCCCCUCAAGCCUGCUAAUCUACAACAGGCCUCAACUCCUACUCUGUACCAGAUCCCUGCAGCCCUCAAUCCCCCAUUCUUUCAAAAAAUACAUCUUCCUCCACUUUACAUUACAAAGCCCUCACUGCUUACACAUACACACAUAAGCAAUUUGCACUUCUGUCUUAUUUUGGCACACUGGUUGUUUAUCAGUCUUUGUUUAUGUAUAGUUUUCACAAAUUUUAUUGUAUUUACUUUAACUUUAAAUUAUUUUAAUGAGCCAGACUCCAAACCCCUUGAGAAGUCCAGAGGUUCAGCACUUUUGAAAAGUGUCACAGAAUCUUUAGAUUUCCUUCAUCUCCACCACAUCUGGUACAAGGAUGAGGCUCUCCUUUCGAGGACAUCAGAGAUGUCCUCCUUCUUCACAGAAUGAGGUUUCCCUUCUUCCACCAUUGACACUGCCCUCACUCACAUCUCCUCCAUCCCCCAAACAUCCACACUCACCCCAUCUUCCUGCCAUUUUAACAAUGAUAGAGUUCCCCUUACCCUUGCCUACAACCUAUGAGCCUCCACAUCCAACACAUCAUCUUCUGCAACUUCUACCAUCUCCAAAGGGAUCUUACCACCAAACAUAUCUUUACCACUCUCCCUCUCUCUGCUUUCCACAGGGAUUGCUCCCUCCAUGAUUCACAUGUCCAUCCGUCCCUCACACUAAUCUCCCUCCUGGCAUUUAUCUCUGCAAGCGGCCAUUCACUUCGUCCCUCAUUUCCAUUCAAGGCCCAUUAGUCCUUGUAGGUGAAGCAACAUGACACCUGCAAGUUUACUGGGGUUGUCUAUUGUGUCUACUGCUCCCGAUGUGGCCUCCCCUACAUUUGCGAGACCCGUUGUAAGUGGGAGGACCGCUUUGCCAAGCACCUCCACUCCACCUGCCGAAAGUGAAACUUCCAGAUGGCCAAACAUUUUAAUUCCAAUUCCCAUUCCAACACGUCGGUCUGUUGCCUCCUCUUGUGCCAGACGAGGCCACUCACCAAGGUGGAAGAGCAACACAUUAUUUUCCAUCUGGGUAGCCUCCAACCUGAUGGCAUGAAUAUCAAUUUCUCCUUCUAGUAAAAAAACAUUUUCUUCUGCCUCCUCUCUUCUUCU